UUUCCCUGCCGGAUCUAGCCGGCGGCAACUCCAUGAUGCGCAUCGAACCUACUGAUCCUCUGGACUGUACACCCUCCGAGUCCAGCAUGGGCGAUGCGGGUGACACAAUGUUGACAGUGGAAGUGGAUUUACACAGUACUUGUGAGGGAGCGACCCUGACCCUGUCAGUGCCGAACUUAGAGCAGUCAAUUGGCAAAGAUGACCCCCAAGCCCCUGGCUGCACCAAGAGAACACCCAAUUCAGUAAAACUACUGAAUGAUGAACUCCAUUUUGCAAAUCAAUGCACAACAAUGGAGUUUGCGUUGGAAAAAGUGAUGCCAGACACAACACACCGUUGGUGCAAAUGGCAUGUGCUGAAGAAUGCAAAGGAACAACUUGGUCCAUAUUACACAAAACGGAGCAAGUUCAUAUCCGAACUCCAUAAAAUAAUCCAGCACAUGUUGACGUAGACGAAUUCGAGAUGACAUGGAAAGAACUGAUAGAAGCCCAUGGUUUACAUAAGCAUACUUAUUUAACGCAUAUCUACGAAACAAGGGAGAAGUGGGCAAAGCCACACUUCAAUGGAAAAUUCUGGGCAAAGAUGUCAAGUACCCAACACAGUGAGAGUGCCAACCAUAUGUUGAAGGGUUACGUCCCAGACUCCCAGCAAGUUACCCGAUGCAUCUAUUCGUCUGGCAAUACAUGAGACUUCUCUUCGACAGGGAAGCAAGUGAGAACUACGAAGAGAGGCGUACAAAGAUAACAUCCCCAGUUAUGGAAAUGACCGUGCCACUCGAGUUACACGCGAGUGAAAUCUACACCUGAGCUAUGUUUGAAAAAUUUGGCGAAGUAAUAUAUGAAUCUAUGCAGUACAAGGUGGAGGAGACCACCAAGGGCAAAACCUAUUUCGUAAGACGAUAUCAUCCCGAGAAAUAUGAGAAGUGGUGCAGGGUUGUCUACAAAGUAAAAGUUGCCGAAGAAGGGAAAGAACUGAAGUGUGAGUGUGCUAAUUUUGAGCACACGGGUUUGCUAUGCUGCCAUUCAGUUAAGGUCCACGAUUCCCUCAGCAUAGACUGUAUACUGACAAAACAUAUUCUGAAAGGGUGGACAAAAGACGCAAGGGAUGUACUCCCCAACCACCUAUCACAUCUUCGGAGGGACAACAUCUCUUUGAAUUCAGUAACUUGUAGGCACUCAAAUUUGUACACCCAUGCUCUUGAAGUUGUACGACUUGGGGAUGCAAACACAGAAGCGUAUAAAUUGUGCCAUGAAUAUCCUCAAGACAGCAAUGGAUACAUUGACUCCUAUAGCCGCUUUCACUAUGCGCAACUCACAGCGGAUGUGGGAGUGACGCAGAAGGUAGCACAAUCGGUAAUUUCAUCGGACUAAAAGCUCCAGGCUGGAAACGAAAGCCUGGUCAACCAACCAGCAGCAGGGAUAAACCGUCAUGUGAUGAUCAUGGUGCAAAGAGCACGAGGAACACCUCAGCCACAAAUGCACAAGCUGGAACUGGGUGCGGGACAAGUAAGCGAACUCGCUUUUGUAGUAUAUGUCGAGAACAAGGGCACAAGAGCAUGACAUGCCUGAAAAGAGGUGACCUUCAGAAAGAAAGGAAAGAGGGAAAAUGCUCGAACUGUGGCGUCAGUGGUCACAGGAAGAACACCUGCAACAACCUUAAGGUCGUACUCCAUGUUGUUGCAAAUGCUACCUUAGAGCAAAAUGCAAUGUGCGAGUGAUUUGAUUUUACUCAGUGUUUUUGUUCUAAGCUGCUCAACGUUAUGUAACCGUUUAACUCAAACCGCAGUUGUCUUAUAAUAAGUGUUUGAUAAGUACUGCAUGAUGUAGUUGCUGAAACUUGUCAGUGUGGUACCCAUGUUUAUUAUUGUGAGAACGGAAAAAAUAAUUUUUGAGUUUGUGACU